UGGUGGUUCAGUGGUAGAAUGCUCGCCUGCCACGCGCGCGACCCGGGUUCGAUUCCCGGCCA
rnacentral:tRNA from 1 species